rnacentral:rRNA from 1 species
AGUGAACGCUGGCGGUAGGCCUAACACAUGCAAGUCGAACGGCAGCACAGUAAGAGCUUGCUCUUACGGGUGGCGAGUGGCGGACGGGUGAGGAAUACGUCGGAAUCUACUUUUUCGUGGGGGAUAACGUAGGGAAACUUACGCUAAUACCGCAUACGACCUACGGGUGAAAGCAGGGGAUCUUCGGACCUUGCGCGAUUGAAUGAGCCGAUGUCGGAUUAGCUAGUUGGCGGGGUAAAGGCCCACCAAGGCGACGAUCCGUAGCUGGUCUGAGAGGAUGAUCAGCCACACUGGAACUGAGACACGGUCCAGACUCCUACGGGAGGCAGCAGUGGGGAAUAUUGGACAAUGGGCGCAAGCCUGAUCCAGCCAUACCGCGUGGGUGAAGAAGGCCUUCGGGUUGUAAAGCCCUUUGUUGGGAAAGAAAAGCAGCAGGUUAAUACCCCGCUGUUCUGACGGUACCCAAAGAAUAAGCACCGGCUAACUUCGUG